rnacentral:rRNA from 1 species
UACGUAGGUGGCAAGCGUUGUCCGGAAUUAUUGGGCGUAAAGCGCGCGCAGGCGGUCCUUUAAGUCUGAUGUGAAAGCCCACGGCUCAACCGUGGAGGGUCAUUGGAAACUGGGGGACUUGAGUGCAGGAGAGAAGAGUGGAAUUCCCGGUGUAGCGGUGAAAUGCGUAGAUAUCUGGAGGAACACCGGUGGCGAAGGCGGCAUCCUGGACCAACACUGACGCUGAGGAGCGAAAGCCAGGGGAGCAAACGGG